rnacentral:rRNA from 2 species
AUAACGACUCUCGGCAACGGAUAUCUCGGCUCUCGCAUCGAUGAAGAACGUAGCGAACUGCGAUACUUGGUGUGAAUUGCAGAAUCCCGUGAACCAUCGAGUCUUUGAACGCAAGUUGCGCCCGUAACCAUCCGGUGAGGGCACGUUUGCCUGGGUGUCACACA